rnacentral:rRNA from 1 species
CCUACGGGUGGCAGCAGUGGGGAAUAUUGCACAAUGGGGGAAACCCUGAUGCAGCGACGCCGCGUGAGUGAAGAAGUAUUUCGGUAUGUAAAGCUCUAUCAGCAGGGAAGAAAAAAGACGGUACCUGACUAAGAAGCCCCGGCUAACUACGUGCCAGCAGCCGCGGUAAUACGUAGGGGGCAAGCGUUAUCCGGAUUGACUGGGUGUAAAGGGAGCGUAGACGGCGCGGCAAGUCUGAAGUGAAAGGCAGGGGCUUAACCCCUGAACUGCUUUGGAAACUGGCAGGCUGGAGUGCCGGAGAGGCAGGCGGAAUUCCUAGUGUAGCGGUGAAAUGCGUAGAUAUUAGGAGGAACACCAGUGGCGAAGGCGGCCUGCUGGACGGUGACUGACGCUGAGGCUCGAAAGCGUGGGGAGCAAACAGGAUUAGAUACCCCGGUAGUC